UGAGUAAGCCAGAUGAUCGCGUGCAUUGAGCAUGAGGAAAGUCCGAGCUCCAUAGGGCAGGGUGCUGGGUAAUACCCAGUGGAGGCGACUCUAAGGAAAGUGCCACAGAAACAGACCGCCAUGUUCAGAUGUCGGUGGUCCGAGGUCAGAAGUCCGAAUAGGUCAGACAUCUGAUUUCCGACUUCCGACAUCUGUUAUGGUAAGGGUGGAAAGGUGAGGUAAGAGCUCACCAGCAGCCGGGGUGACCCGGUUGGCUCGGUAAACCCCACUUGGAGCAAGACCGAAUAGGGGAACAUUGGAAUGGCCCGUUCCGUUCCCGGGUAAGGUCGCUUGAGCCUAUUGGCAACAAUAGGCCUAGAUAGAUGAUCAUCCUAGACAGAACUCGGCUUAUGGCUUAGUCAAGGC
rnacentral:RNase_P_RNA from 1 species